GAAACGCACAUGAACUCUACUUGAUUUGGAAGGGAUAUGGUGAAUUAUGCCUUUGCGUGUUCAUUCCGGAUUUACAUGGACUCUUGAUGGAUCAAGAGAUGCCAAUAUGUAUCAACAUCCGAAGAAAUAGAUCUUGGGAAGACACAGUCUCGAUAAGGCACUCGAUGACUGUAUUGAUGAUCAAUCGGCUUAGGCGCUCUAUAACUAGUGAGGCCUACAUAUACUCCCAUGAUUAGUCAAGGUCUUUGCUCUAAAGAGAGAUCCGUUGUUUUGUCUAAAGCAAGAUGACAAAUAUGUGUUAAGAGAUGGAGUUCCCAUCUAAGUACAAAAAGACGCAUCAAUGUACUCAACACAAUACAAAAGACUUGACAUCUCAUUCGCUAUGAAAAGUUGUAAAGCUAAGUGUAGCUAUGCGCCCACGCAACGCCAAUGUAAUGGAAGUAACUCCUUUUUCAAUACUUAAUGGUAUGAAAGGUUGAGGCUUAUUCUAUCCUUACAUAAGAAAGACACAUCAAAAGCGAAAUCAGAAUCUACCAAGGUUUGUAGGUCAACUUCCACGGGACCUAUAGGAAAUCUAACUCACUGGAAAAUGGUGAAAUUGGUACCAUUGGAAAGGUCUAUGUGUCUACUUUCCAGAGACACCAACCAUUUGAUCAUACCUAUCAUAUUGAGUGAGUUAUGGCCGUUUCGUAAAGUAGGACGAAUCUGUCCGAGAAUCUGAUUUUGGCAAAACAGUCAACUUCGACGGGAUUUUGUGAACAGCUCCUGAUGAACCAGAAUGUGUGUAAUAUACGGUUGGAAAGCUAAAUGAGUCUAGUUUCCAAAACCGUUUACGGUUCGUUCAUAUGUACUUCCUAAAGGAAGUUACGACUGUUCUAGUAAUUGAAUGUCAUGCUGCGCGGAAACCUGAUUUCCUGCACGAACUUAUGUUUUGAGUUCACAAGCGACCUUCUCCUCAAGAUCUAAGUGUAAAAGAUCAUUUGAGGACAAUAUGGCAUGAUUUAGUUAAUCAUUGCCCAAUGCCACAU
rnacentral:lncRNA from 1 species